rnacentral:rRNA from 1 species
AGUGAACGCUGGCGGUAGGCCUAACACAUGCAAGUCGAACGGCAGCACAGUAAGAGCUUGCUCUUACGGGUGGCGAGUGGCGGACGGGUGAGGAAUACAUCGGAAUCUACUUUUUCGUGGGGGAUAACGUAGGGAAACUUACGCUAAUACCGCAUACGACCUACGGGUGAAAGCAGGGGAUCUUCGGACCUUGCGCGAUUGAAUGAGCCGAUGUCGGAUUAGCUAGUUGGCGGGGUAAAGGCCCACCAAGGCGACGAUCCGUAGCUGGUCUGAGAGGAUGAUCAGCCACACUGGGACUGAGACACGGUCCAGACGCCUACGGGAGGCAGCAGUGGGGAAUAUGGGACAAUGGGCGCAAGCCUGAUCCAGCCAUACCGCGUGGGUGAAGAAGGCCUUCGGGUUGUAAAGCCCUUUUGUUGGGAAAGAAAAGCAGCAGGUUAAUACCCCGCUGUUCUGACGGUACCCAAAGAAUAAGCACCGGCUAACUUCGU